AGUGAACGCUGGCGGUAGGCCUAACACAUGCAAGUCGAACGGCAGCACAGUAAGAGCUUGCUCUUACGGGUGGCGAGUGGCGGACGGGUGAGGAAUACAUCGGAAUCUACUUUUUCGUGGGGGAUAACGUAGGGAAACUUACGCUAAUACCGCAUACGACCUACGGGUGAAAGCAGGGGAUCUUCGGACCUUGCGCGAUUGAAUGAGCCGAUGUCGGAUUAGCUAGUUGGCGGGGUAAAGGCCCACCAAGGCGACGAUCCGUAGCUGGUCUGAGAGGAUGAUCAGCCACACUGGAACUGAGACACGGUCCAGACUCCUACGGGAGGCAGCAGUGGGGAAUAUUGGACAAUGGGCGCAAGCCUGAUCCAGCCAUACCGCGUGGGUGAAGAAGGCCUUCGGGUUGUAAAGCCCUUUUGUUGGGAAAGAAAAGCAGCAGGCUAAUACCCCGCUGUUCGGACGGUACCCAAAGAAUAAACACCGGCGAACUUCGU
rnacentral:rRNA from 1 species